rnacentral:rRNA from 1 species
UACGUAGGGGGCAAGCGUUGUCCGGAUUUAUUGGGCGUAAAGAGCUCGUAGGCGGUUUGGUAAGUCAGGUGUGAAAUCUCCACGCUCAACGUGGAGGGGCCACCUGAUACUGCCAUGACUGGAGUCCGGUAGAGGAGUGUGGAAUUCCCGGUGUAGCGGUGAAAUGCGCAGAUAUCGGGAGGAACACCCGUAGCGAAGGCGGCACUCUGGGCCGGUACUGACGCUAAGGCGCGAAAGCGUGGGGAGCGAACAGG